rnacentral:rRNA from 1 species
GAUGAACGCUAGCUACAGGCUUAACACAUGCAAGUCGAGGGGAAACGAUAGAGAAAGCUUGCUUUUUCUAGGCGUCGACCGGCGCACGGGUGAGUAACGCGUAUCCAACCUGCCCAUCACUUGGGGAUAACCUUGCGAAAGUAAGACUAAUACCCAAUGACGUCUCUAGAAGACAUCUGAAAGAGAUUAAAGAUUUAUCGGUGAUGGAUGGGGAUGCGUCUGAUUAGCUUGUUGCGGGGGUAACGGCCACCAAGGCGACGAUCAGUAGGGGUUCUGAGAGGAAGGUCCCCACAUUGGAACUGAGACACGGUCCAAACUCCUACGGAGGCAGCAGUGAGGAAUAUGGUCAAUGGACGAG